AUAAAUGCUAUGAAAAAGAGUGCGCUUUGUUCCGCUUUUGCAGAGAGCCGGCGUCGGGUGCGAGUCCGGCAAAGCAGGCAAAGCAGCUGUCGCUUUUGAGCAGGUACGGUGAGCCUUUGGGGUAGCUGUACACGGGUUUGCCGCCGUUAUCCGGGCAGGCGGGGUGUUUGCUCUGCCGCAAAGAGGCCUUCGUCGGAAGGCAACUUGGGUGGUACCGCGACUUGAUUUUUUCAGGCCGUCCCAUGA
rnacentral:ncRNA from 1 species